UGGCUGUGAGGAUUACUGCACCUUUGCGAUGGAGGGGUCCAUUGCUCAUGUCUGAUACAAAGAAUGAAAAACGGUGCAUCUGAGCCU